rnacentral:lncRNA from 1 species
GGUUUUGGCUCAGGGGUUGGGGCAGGGGUGGGCUUUACUCUUUGUGGGUUCGGAGACUUCGGGUGCGCAGGCAUUUCCCGGGCAUCGCGCCCCAGCCUGUGACAGAAUUGGAAGUGUUCCUCUGCCUGCUCGCCUGCGAGGGGGAGGAUCGCAGGGCUGCGGCCGCAGGAGAGAGAUUUGGACCUAGUGAAAGGACGUCGCCCCUUAGUCCCAGCUAUGGACUCCACAGCAUCAGGCCCAGGAGCAUGAAGUAUCAGUGUCCAGACACCGUGGUAGAAGUGGACGGGAUGGCCACGGAAGACUUCCCAAAGGCCAGAGGAGAGCGGGGAAGAACUGACCUUUAAGCUGGCUUCCCAAGGAUGAGAGGAAAGUUCUCCCUUCUCAGGACCCUGCUCUUCCUCCAGAGAGAUACCCAGGAGAAAAGGGAACAGCCAGUUUAUUCCUGAAAGCCAGGCCCCAGGUGAGUUGAGGUUCUCUUCGUUUUUCCUCAAAUGACUGAACUACGGAUGUCUUUGCCCCC